rnacentral:rRNA from 1 species
GACGAACGCUGGCGGCGUGCUUAACACAUGCAAGUCGAACGAUGAAGCCUUUCGGGGUGGAUUAGUGGCGAACGGGUGAGUAACACGUGGGCAACCUGCCCUGUACUUUGGGAUAAGCCUUGGAAACGAGGUCUAAUACCGGAUAUGAUGAGUCCUCGCAUGGGGGUUUGUUGAAAGUUCCGGCGGUACAGGAUGAGCCCGCGGCCUAUCAGCUUGUUGGUGGGGUAAUGGCCUACCAAGGCGACGACGGGUAGCCGGCCUGAGAGGGCGACCGGCCACACUGGGACUGAGACACGGCCCAGACUCCUACGGGAGGCAGCAGUGGGGAAUAUUGCACAAUGGGCGAAAGCCUGAUGCAGCGACGCCGCGUGAGGGAUGACGGCCUCGG